UACGGAGGGGGCUAGCGUUAUUCGGAAUUAUUGGGCGUAAAGGGCGCGUAGGCGCCAUGCGUGUCUUCCGUGAAAUCCCUCGGCUUAACUGAGGACGUGCGGAAGAAACUGCAAGGGCUCGGAGUCCGGGGAGAGGGGGGUGGAAUUCCCAGUGUAGAGGUGAAAUUCGUAGAUAUUGGGAAGAACACCGGUGGCGAAGGCGGCCAUCUGGGACCGUAUCUGACGCUGAGGCGCGACAGCGUGGGGAGCAAACAGG
rnacentral:rRNA from 1 species